rnacentral:tRNA from 1 species
UUAAUUGAAGCCAAAAUAGAGGCAUUUCACUGUUAAUGACUUCAUUGAAUAAAAAUUCCAAUUAAA